rnacentral:rRNA from 1 species
GUCACUGCUAUCGUGUCGUCUAAGCCAUGCGAGUCAUAUGUCUUUGGAACAUGGCGUACUGCUCAGUAACACGUGGAUAACCUGCCCUUGGGUCCGGCAUAACCCCGGGAAACUGGGGAUAAUACCGGAUAACGCAUAUAUGCUGGAAUUCUUUAUGCGUGAAACGGAUUCGUCUGCCCAAGGAUGGGUCUGCGGCCUAUCAGGUAGUAGUGGGUGUAAUGUACCUACUAGCCGACGACGGGUACGGGUUGUGAGAGCAAGAGCCCGGAGAUGGAUUCUGAGACAUGAAUCCAGGCCCUACGGGGCGCAGCAGGCGCGAAAAUUUUACAAUGCGGGAAACCGUGAUAAGGGGACACCGAGUGCCAGCAUCAUAUGCUGGCUGUCCGGGUGUGUAAAAUACACCUGUUAGCAAGGGCCGGGCAAGACCGGUGCCAGCCGCCGCGGUAACACCGGCGGCCCGAGUGGUGAUCGUGAUUAUUGGGUCUAAAGGGUCCGUAGCCGGUUUGGUCAGUCCUCCGGGAAAUCUGACGGCUUAACCGUUAGGCUUUCGGGGGAUACUGCCAGACUUGGAACCGGGAGAGGUAAGAGGUACUACAGGGGUAGGAGUGAAAUCUUGUAAUCCCUGUGGGACCACCUGUGGCGAAGGCGUCUUACCAGAACGGGUUCGACGGUGAGGGACGAAAGCUGGGGGCACGAACCGGAUUAGAUACCCGGGUAGUCCCAGCCGUAA